AUUGAACGCUGGCGGCAGGCCUAACGCAUGCAAGUCGAACGGUAACAGGAAGAAGCUUGCUUCUUUGCUGACGAGUGGCGGACGGGUGAGUAAUGUCUGGGAAACUGCCUGAUGGAGGGGGAUAACUACUGGAAACGGUAGCUAAUACCGCAUAACGUCGCAAGACCAAAGAGGGGGACCUUCGGGCCUCUUGCCAUCGGAUGUGCCCAGAUGGGAUUAGCUAGUAGGUGGGGUAACGGCUCACCUAGGCGACGAUCCCUAGCUGGUCUGAGAGGAUGACCAGCCACACUGGAACUGAGACACGGUCCAGACUCCUAAGGGAGGCAGCAGUGGGGAAUAUUGCACAAUGGGCGCAAGCCUGAUGCAGCCAUGCCGCGUGUAUGAAGAAGGCCUUCGGGUUGUAAAGUACUUUCAGCGGGGAGGAAGGGAGUAAAGUUAAUACCUUUGCUCAUUGACGUUACCCGCAGAAGAAGCACCGGCUAACUCCGUG
rnacentral:rRNA from 1 species